UAAAAUAAAAUAAUAUUUCACGAUAAAGACUGGAACUUGAUUAUAUCUCACAAAUUAAAGGCCUUAACUCAGUGUUGAAGACUUGAAGUGUUUGAUAUUUUGACAAAAAAAGAAAAAAUAAAAUAAAAUAAAGCAAACCGAAGAAAGUAAGUGAGCUGAGAACUUUAUAGAUGAAGGCAUGAACAAACAAGGGCUUGAGGCCCAAUGAACAUCAGUUGUCAUCUGUACUAGCCCAACAUAAGGGCCCACAUUUACGGCCUUUAUCUAAUUCAUCAAGGGCCCACCAACAACUCUAAUGCUUACAAAUUUU
rnacentral:lncRNA from 1 species